rnacentral:rRNA from 1 species
UACGGGGGGGGCAAGCGUUGUUCGGAAUUACUGGGAGUAAAGGGCUGGUAGGCGGCCAACUAAGUCGGAUGUGAAAUCCCCAGGCUUAACCUGGGAACUGCAUCCGAUACUGGUCGGCUUGAAUCCGGGAGAGGGAUGCAGAAUUCCAGGUGUAGCGGUGAAAUGCGUAGAUAUCUGGAGGGAUACCGGUGGCGAAGGCGGCAUCCUGGACCGGCAUUGACGCUGAACAGCGAAAGCUAGGGGAGCAAACGGG